ACGGCACCGUGCUAGUCAGGUAACAGGUCUGUUUACAAAGUUUGUAAGUGCUCUGAAACAUGUCACGGGGCGGAAAUGGGAGCGGAAAUUAGCGUGUCCAUCCGGGAGACUGCCCCUCAUCUGUUGCACUUGAACAGCCUCAACUCCGACGGCUAUGGCUUCGGGCGGUGCUCGGGCGAGAGCGGUAACCCUGGCUGUUUCCACACAGGUGGUUAGAGGAGUCUUUGAGGAUUCUGAAAAUAUCUCCAGAACAGUGGUUGCUGUGGCAAGAGUUAACAUGGAGAGAGACGUGGAGACACAUGGGGAAGAGAAUGUGGAUCACAGGAAGGUGAAGGAGAGGAGAUAAAUAAGUGGAAGGACACCGAGGGAGAGACAGAAGGUGAGAUGGACAAAUGACAGUUUUAUUUUCACCUCAGAGAGGGAUAGAUGGAACAGCUGGCUCCUCAGACACACACACAAAACACACUUUCCUCCAUCUUUCCAUGCAUUAAUAUUCAGUUGAGAUCACGUUGAACACAAAGCAAAGACAUCAUUUUUGUGUAAUGAAUGUAUUUGUGACACUGUGGGUGAGCCUGUGUGUUUGAUUAGUUGUCUCACUACGCUUGUCUACAUCACUGGGUCACUAUGACACCGCUCACUACACACACACACACUCACACACUUAUGUCCAUGUAUGUUUGUGUGUGUGUCUGACAGUGUGUGGUAUGUGUGUUGACUUUGU